CCAGAAGGUAAACAGGCCGGUCACAGAAUAAUCUCAGCUCAUCAAAAACUAGCUGCGAAAGAAGCAUGUGCCUACAAAGCUGAUCUCCCAUCCUAAAAGUCAGCUGCACAGCAAGGAAACCAAGAGGGCCCAGUUAACCCAGGUGCAUGGGGAGCAUGACAGAGCACCGUGGGCUCCUGUGGGUUUCUGCUGUCCCUCCUCUCGGGCAAGGGUGAGAAGAAGGUGAGAAGGCAGCAGAACGCAGAUUUGGUGAUGGAAGCUGGAAAAGAAGUAAGAAGGAUUGUGUUAGCACUUGCAUCCAGUCUCAACUACAGAAAAUAUCAUGAGCUCCUGUGGACUGAAAUGCUGUGGAUGUGUACAAUGCAUGCACUUACACAAGCCAAAGAAACCCUUAGCUUGGUUUUUCUUUUUUUUUUCUUUUUUUCUAUCAGCACCAGAAACACGAGUUUUGCCCCUUGCUAGAGGCCUGAACUCUUCUUGUGCACAUUUUGGAGUAUGAUUCAGACUAAGUUCUUUUUUUGUCACUGGCCCCAUUACCUAAUGUUUUGCAGUCCUGCCCAAUAAAGAUUUAUUCAUCUCA